rnacentral:tRNA from 1 species
GCCGGAGUGGCGAAAUUGGUAGACGCACUAGGUUUAGGACCUAGCGCCGCAAGGCAUGGAGGUUCGAUCCCUCUCUCCGGCACAA